AUCCCAGCUCUGCCCCUCAUCAGCAAGGUGACCCUGGACAAGUUCCUCAGCCGCUGUGAGCUCAGUUCCUUCAUCUGUGAAAUGGAGAGAACAGUAACUACUUCACAUGGAGUAGAUGAGAUGCAACAUGUAACCUGCUUAACACAGAGUGCGACAUGUCCUAACCAUGAGAAGAUAGUCAACGGUGGCCAUGAAGAUGACACGCAAGAUAUAAGUGAGGACACAGAGCAAUGGAGUGACUAGAUUGCUGAAGGCCACGGAAAAGCUGAACGAUUUGGGAAGAGGAUUUCUUCAUGAGCUUGGAA
rnacentral:lncRNA from 10 species